CUUCCCAUUGAUUUGCUGCUCUGCUCUGGCAGUGAUCUGAGCAGUUAUACGCGUGGGAUAUAGUGACAGGAGACUUUUGUAAAUGGGGGUGCAGUGUCUGUUCCAUCCCCGGUGCAUGGUCUCGACAUUG
rnacentral:snoRNA from 1 species